rfam:Ciona savignyi cont_23875, whole genome shotgun sequence.
ACUGGGUUGGCCGAGUGGUUAAGGCGUUGGACUUAAGUUUCAAUGGACAAGUGUGCCGCGUGGGUUCGAACCCCAACACCCAGUA